UUAAGCGAUGAUACCAGUUUGAAUGCGCCAGUUCCCAACUGUUCACUAAAGUUAAGUAACUUUUCCGUGGUUGAUGUUCGGAUGGGUGACCAUCUGGGUAUUCGCUUUCUCUUUUU
rnacentral:rRNA from 1 species